rnacentral:rRNA from 1 species
GAGUUUGAUCCUGGCUCAGAUUGAACGCUGGCGGCAGGCCUAACACAUGCAAGUCGAGCGGUAGCACAAGAGAGCUUGCUCUCUGGGUGACGAGCGGCGGACGGGUGAGUAAUGUCUGGUGAAACUGCCAUGAUGGAGGGGGAUAACUACUGGAAACGGUAGCUAAUACCGCAUAACGUCUUCGGACCAAAGUGGGGGACCUUCGGGCCUCACGCCAUCAGAUGUGCCCAGAUGGGAUUAGCUAGUAGGUGGGGUAAUGGCUCACCUAGGCGACGAUCCCUAGCUGGUCUGAGAGGAUGACCAGCCACACUGGAACUGAGACACGGUCCAGACUCCUACGGGAGGCAGCAGUGGGGAAUAUUGCACAAUGGGCGCAAGCCUGAUGCAGCCAUGCCGCGUGUGUGAAGAAGGCCUUCGGGUUGUAAAGAACUUUCAGCGAGGAGGAAGGGUAGUGUGUUAAUAGCACAUUGCAUUGACGCUUACCUCGCAGAAGAAGCACCGAGCUAACUCCGUGUCCAGCAGCCGCGGCUAAUACGGAGGGUGCAAGCGUUAAUCGGAAUUACUGGGCGUAAAGCGCACGCAGGCGGUUUGUUAAGUCAGAUGUGAAAUCCCCGCGCUUAACGUGGGAACUGCAUUUGAAACUGGCAAGCUAGAGUCUUGUAGAGGGGGGUAGAAUUCCAGGUGUAGCGGUGAAAUGCGUAGAGAUCUGGAGGAAUACCGGUGGCGAAGGCGGCCCCCUGGACAAAGACUGACGCUCAUGUGCGAAAGCGUGGGGAGCAAACAGGAUUAGAUACCCUGGUAGUCCACGCUGUAAACGAUGUCGACUUGGAGGUUGUGCCCUUGAGGCGUGGCUUCCGGAGCUAACGCGUUAAGUCGACCGCCUGGGGAGUACGGCCGCAAGGUUAAAACUCAAAUGAAUUGACGGGGGCCCGCACAAGCGGUGGAGCAUGUGGUUUAAUUCGAUGCAACGCGAAGAACCUUACCUACUCUUGACAUCCACAGAAUUCGGCAGAGAUGCCUUAGUGCCUUCGGGAACUGUGAGACAGGUGCUGCAUGGCUGUCGUCAGCUCGUGUUGUGAAAUGUUGGGUUAAGUCCCGCAACGAGCGCAACCCUUAUCCUUUGUUGCCAGCACGUCAUGGUGGGAACUCAAAGGAGACUGCCGGUGAUAAACCGGAGGAAGGUGGGGAUGACGUCAAGUCAUCAUGGCCCUUACGAGUAGGGCUACACACGUGCUACAAUGGCGUAUACAAAGAGAAGCGAACUCGCGAGAGCCAGCGGACCUCAUAAAGUACGUCGUAGUCCGGAUCGGAGUCUGCAACUCGACUCCGUGAAGUCGGAAUCGCUAGUAAUCGUAGAUCAGAAUGCUACGGUGAAUACGUUCCCGGGCCUUGUACACACCGCCCGUCACACCCAUGGGAGUGGGUUGCAAAAGAAGUAGGUAGGCUUAAUCCUUGCGGGAGGGGCGACUUAGCCACUUUGUGAUUGCAUGACUGGGGUGAACGUCGUAACAAGGUAACCGUAGGGGAACCUGCGGCUGGAUCACCUUCCUUUCUA